AGAUAUUUUCUCAUAUUCCAAUGAAGCCAAACCCACCGGAGCUAAUUGAAACCCUUCGUUUGCUCCGAUGAAGGUGCCCACCACUCUCCUAAUACCCUAAAGGUAUAGAAAAGAGAAUUAAACGAACCUUACGAACACCCAAGUGAUCGAGAAUUAAGCAACUCAAGAAAAGGGUGAAAAACUCAUCGUACGCGAAGGAAACUCUCUCGAUCUCCAAAUGGGAGUCAGAGUCCUUCUAAGCUAACCUAAACCAAGAUUCUAAACCAAUCAAUUUGGUUCUAGAAGCCUCAAAUCAAAAAUCCCCAUUUCUAACCCUAAAUCUCAAAAUCUAGGGUUCCAACUAACAUAAA
rnacentral:lncRNA from 1 species